UACGUAGGUGGCAAGCGUUGUCCGGAAUUAUUGGGCGUAAAGCGCGCGCAGGUGGUUUCUUAAGUCUGAUGUGAAAGCCCACGGCUCAACCGUGGAGGGUCAUUGGAAACUGGGGGAACUUAGUGCAGGAGAGAAGAGUGGAAUUCCACGUGUAGCGGUGAAAUCGUAGAGAUGUGGAGGAACACCAGUGGCGAAGGCGACUCUUUGGCCUGUAACUGACACUGAGGCGCGAAAAGCGUGGGGGAGCAAACAGG
rnacentral:rRNA from 1 species